CAGGGUCUCCUCCCUUCCUUGGGACAGGAUGACGUGUAGUUCCACGCGCCGCCACGUUUCUUUAUCCGUUCCCAGACGCACAGGAGCUGAGAACAGGACAUGCUCGGAGUGGGGGAGGGGUCAGCCCGUCGGCACAAAGUCUCGGCCACGAGAUGAAGAAGCUCUGGGAGUCCACGGUGCAGCACGGUGACUGUGGUGUAACUGAGUACUUGUUCUAACUGGAGAGGGAUUUUCUGAAGGACUCAAGAGGCUAUCCAAAUUCCCCCUAAAUUUUCAAGGGCACACAACCUGCACUGUAAUCGGCUGAUUAAGCCCUAACCAGUAGGCUGUGAGGGGAAGUUGUACGUGUUGCUGGGCUGAGGCUUCUAAGCAGUGUCGCCCUCUGGGUCUGCAGGCGGAACACAGAAGACUGGAGCCAGGGGCGCAUAGGAGAAGCUCGGGGGUUCUGAGACCUGGGUGGCCUGUGCACCAACCUCACUACCUUUUGGACUUCAAGGGUGCAAG
ensembl:lncRNA